rnacentral:rRNA from 1 species
GACGAACGCUGGCGGCGUGCUUAACACAUGCAAGUCGAACGGAAAGGCCCUGCUUUUGUUGGGUGCUCGAGUGGCGAACGGGUGAGUAACACGUGAGUAACCUGCCCUUGACUGUGGGAUAACUUCAGGAAACUGGGGCUAAUACCGGAUAGGAGCUCCUGCUGCAUGGUGGGGGUUGGAAAGUUUCGGCGGUUGGGGAUGGACUCGCGGCUUAUCAGCUUGUUGGUGGGGUAGUGGCUUACCAAGGCUUUGACGGGUAGCCGGCCUGAGAGGGUGACCGGCCACAUUGGGACUGAGAUACGGCCCAGACUGCUACGGGAGGCAGCAGUGGGGAAUAUUGCACAAUGGGCGGACGCCUGAUGCAGCAACGCCGCGUGCGGGAUGACGGCCUUCGGGUUGUAAACCGCUUUCGCCUGUGACGAAGCGUGAGUGACGGUAAUGGGUAAAGAAGCACCGGCUAACUACGUG